GUCUACUGCCAUAUUACCCUAAAUGUACCUGAUCUCUUCUGGUCUCAGAAGCUAAGCAGGGUUGGGCCUGGUUAGUACUUGGAUGGGAAACAGAUCUUCAAAAGAGACUGAUCAGAGACAAGUCGUUUGGAGACA
rnacentral:rRNA from 1 species